rnacentral:miRNA from 1 species
AGGAUGAGGAGAGAGAGAGAGGAGAGGAGAGAGGUUGAGGUUGAGGUUGAGGUUGAAGAAGAAGAAGGGAUUGAACAAGUAAAGGGAUGAAAUUGGAAUAAAAAGGAGUGGUGAGUUUGGUAAAGCAUUGAAUUAGGGCUGAAAGCGUCCGUGGCCUAUACUAAAAGUGCCCGUUUCUUUCUCUCUCUCUUCUCUCUCCUUUAAUUUACCUUUUU